UGACAAUGAUGUACAAGUUUUUUUUCAUACCUUUAAUAACUGUGUACCAGCUUUUUAACCCUGAGUUAU
ensembl:snoRNA SNORD36 Small nucleolar RNA SNORD36